GACGAACGCUGGCGGCGUGCUUAACACAUGCAAGUCGAGCGAUGAAGCACCUUCGGGUGUGAAUUAGCGGCGAACGGGUGAGGAACACGUGAGAAAUCUGCCUUCAACUCUGGGAUAACUCCGGGAAACCGGGGCUAAUACCGGAUAUGAGCCUUGAUCGCAUGAUCGGGGCUGGAAAGUUUUUCGGUUGAAGAUGAUCUCGCGGCCUAUCAGCUUGUUGGUGAGGUAAUGGCUCACCAAGGCGACGACGGGUAGCCGGCCUGAGAGGGCGACCGGCCACACUGGGAAUGAGACACGGCCCAGACUCCUACGGGAGGCAGCAGUGGGGAAUAUUGGGCAAUGGAGGAAACUCUGACCCAGCGACGCCGCGUGAGGGAUGAAGGCCUUCGGGUUGUAAACCUCUUUCAGUAGGGAAGAAGCGAAAGUGACGGUACCUACAGAAGAAGGACCGGCUAACUAUGUGCCAGCAGCCGCAGUAACAC
rnacentral:rRNA from 1 species